AGCACUAUUUUACAUAAAGUCAUUACCAAUUACGCAGCAAUAGACAGCGACACGCUACUAAUUGCUAAUAACGUGAGGUAUGCAAAAGGACGAGAUGUUGACAACUGGCUGAUUAUAGAUGAGAGGACGGCUGAUAUAAGACUCAAUAAAAUACCAGAUUAUGAGUCCAAGUUUCUGAUCAAUGGCACAUAUUACUCUCAGAUAAUCUGCAUCACUAAUGAUGCCCCGGCUAAAACUGCAACAGGAACCAUUGCCAUUCAAGUAAAAGACUUG